GACCUGGCUGGGUGGUCUUGCCGCAAGGUAAGCACUGCUCUGGUUGGGUCUUUCCUUCUGGGGAACCUGCGUGCGCUUAAUUGAGUGCGCAGGGGAUCCAGGACUUUUACUUUGAAAAAAUUAGAGUGUUCAAAGCAGGCAUUUUCGCUUGAAUACAUUAGCAUGGAAUAAUGGAAUAGG
rnacentral:rRNA from 1 species